rnacentral:rRNA from 1 species
GGGGGACAGGGUGACAGGUGGUGGCAUGGUUGUCGUCAGCUCGUGUCGUGAGAUGUUGGGUUAAGUCCCGCAACGAGCGCAACCCUCGACCUUAGUUGCCAGCAUUCAGUUGGGCACUCUAAGGUGACUGCCGGCUAAAAGUCGGAGGAAGGUGGGGAUGACGUCAAAUCAUCAUGCCCCUUAUGACCUGGGCUACACACGUGCUACAAUGGGCGGUACAAAGGGUCGCGAACCCGCGAGGGGAGCCAAUCCCAAAAAGCCGCUCUCAGUUCGGAUUGCAGGCUGCAACUCGCCUGCAUGAAGCCGGAAUCGCUAGUAAUCGCGGAUCAGCAUGCCGCGGUGAAUACGUUCCCGGGCCUU